CUGCGUUCCAUUAGGCAGUUGGCGGGGUAACGGCCCACCAAACCGACGAUGGAUAGGGGUUCUGAGAGGAAGGUCCCCCACAUUGGUACUGAGACACGGACCAAACUCCUACGGGAGGCAGCAGUGAGGAAUAUUGGUCAAUGGGCGUAAGCCUGAACCAGCCCAAGUCGCGUGAGGGAUGAAGGUUCUAUGGAUCGUAAACCUCUUUUAUAAGGGAAUAAAGUGUGGGACGUGUCCCGUUUUGUAUGUACCUUAUGAAUAAGGAUCGGCUAACUCCGUGCCAGCAGCCGCGGUAAUACGGAGGAUCCGAGCGUUAUCCGGAUUUAUUGGGUUUAAAGGGUGCGUAGGCGGCCUUUUAAGUCAGCGGUGAAAGUCUGUGGCUCAACCAUAGAAUUGCCGUUGAAACUGGGGGGCUUGAGUAUGUUUGAGGCAGGCGGAAUGCGUGGUGUAGCGGUGAAAUGCUUAGAUAUCACGCAGAACCCCGAUUGCGAAGGCAGCCUGCCAAGCCAUGACUGACGCUGAUGCACGAAAGCGUGGGGAUCAAACAGGAUUAGAUACCCUGGUAGUCCACGCAGUAAACGAUGAUCACUAGCUGUUUGCGAUACAGUGUAAGCGGCACAGCGAAAGCGUUAAGUGAUCCACCUGGGGAGU
rnacentral:rRNA from 1 species